CUAAUGGAUUUUGCAUCAAAAGGAAGGAGGAAGCACAAAAGGAAAUGGCACUAUGACUGUGCCUUUUAAACAACAAUUCUGGAAAGUGCUUAUGAUUCAGCCUUUGCUGAAAUCCUGGGCUCAGUGAAAUCAGUGGGAAUUUUAGUUUCAACCCGGAUAGCUAGCUUAUGUGUUACCGCCAUUGCUUAAUUAGCAUCUGCUCCAGCUAAGAAUACAUUUCUUGAUAUGUAGUACAUAUUGCAAACACUUAAAUUCAGUGCAUGUCUAAAUUCAAGCUUUCUUUUCCACAAAGCAUGGGAUCAGUGACCUGGAAACCAGCUACACUCAGCAGGAUUGUUACACCCAGAAAGAGUACAAGUAUCACAUCAUUAGAUGAUUGGACCAAGUCUGUCAAAAGAAGAACCAGACACCUUUCUCCAAAUGUGCAAAGUAUUCUUAUAAUACACUUCUGAAUCAUCACAGACUCUCAUUCCCAUUCUGGCUAUUUUACAGAACUUGCAGUUGUAAAGGGUGAAAUUCCACAACUGACAAAACAUUAGUCACAAAGCAACAGAACACCAUUUACGUAGUUGAAAACAGUUGCUCUAAACUAUAUUUCUAAGACUUGGAGCAAUUGUGUUGUGAUGUAAAUCUGGAGCCACAAUAUCUCUCAGAAUGAACUGUAACUCUUAACGGCAAAAAAACAACUCCCAAUUACAUUGCAGAGAAGUUGAAUUAAAUUUAAUUCAGUUCUUAACGUUGCUAAUCUAAAAAAAGCUCUGGUCACUAAUAACAUGUCUAAUGGAAGAAAGGACUAGUUAAUCUCUUACAAUCUACUAGCAGCCUAAGCACAACUUCCAAACUCAGACUAACUAAGGAUGACAAUGUCCUCCAUGACCAUAAAGCUCAAGCUGAACCAAAUAAGCUAAAAGCUAUUAUGGCCUAUCCAAACUCUUCUGCUGCCUAAUCACUAAUAAUUUCAGUAAGGAGGUUUCAAGAUUUAGUUCAUCCUCUUGAAAAAAAUAGAGCACCAUUCACCAGGAACUACCAGUAGCUGCUGCAGUAGUCUAGGAUUUAGGUAGAAGCUAUGAAGCUAGAAAUACAGGUUCAAUGAAUGGUUCCGUUGAUGGUACUGUCACUCAGUGGCCAGGAAAAGCACUAACAGGUAAAGCACUCUGCUGUCUGGGAAGCAAUCUGCUCUAACAGGAUGCCUGCUGAGCAAUCAGAAACAACAUUUACCAACCUCCCAACCAGAAGACAUUGUUAGAAGCAUAAAGACAUUGUCAGAGAAAGGUAGGAGGUUAAACAGAUGAGGAAAUAUGCCUUUUUUAAAGAAGACCACAAGCUACGUCUUGAUAUUUAUGAGCAAAACACAGCCAGCAGGAGGAGGAGAGGAAGAAACAGCCAAUGUCUGUCUAUUCCAUAGCACUACAAGAUCACCAACAAACGGUGCUGGUUGCCUUACUCCCAUUUUCUAUCAGACAUUAAGCUCCACAAUACCCAAAGUCCUCUUGUUCCAGGAAAAGAGAUGAAGAGAACUAAUAGGUCAAACUGAAAGGGCCCAAACAAAUUUUGGUUGAAGUCAUUCCAUCAGCUUUGAUGGGAGUUCAAACAGGCCCUUUGAAAGCAAAUAACAUAAAUUAUCUUGCAAUUAUCUUUUUAUGAGAUUAUGCAACAGUUUUGAUGAAACAGCUGAUGAUUAAUUUAGGAUUCAACAUUCAUUUUCCCAGGAGUCUUGUAAAUAUAUAAAAGAUCAUAACAUAUAAUUUCAAAUCAGGAAGAGCAAUUAUUGUAAAGAAAUCUCAUGUUUCAGACCAGCCAGCAGAUACAGAACUGCGAGCAAAACAAAGCUAAAAGUGAACAUCACAGACUGUAAUAAAGAAUACCUCUUGACUUGUCUAAAAACAGUGAGAUUUGCAGUAGUCAUAGGGAAUAUCUGGCACAUGCACUGAUUUGAAUUAAUAUUCCCACCAUCAGUGUUGCCAAUAUUUUACAGAUCAUCUGCAAGCACACUGCUUGCAAAAUUUAUCUGAAUGUAAAUGCCAGUUAAAGAAAGUAUAUUUUUUAUUUAUUCAACAGAAGAACCAAGAACAAUAGACAUUAUUUGCUUUUACAGUGCCAAGAUUAUGUUAACUUAUUUAUAAUCUUGUAGUAUACCAAGAAUUCAACCAUGACUAUAGCCUCAUUUUGCACAUACACUUUGUUAGCUGUUUGGACGAGGGCUGUUUAUUACAGCAGCAACAUAGACAAAGAGAGGAAGUGUGCUCAGAGUGAGUCUUAUCACUCCCCUAAGAGACCACAAUCUUACAAGUCUUAGACAAGCUGAGAACUGAGUCCAGAUUUCCAAGAAACCUAAUCAAAUACUGUUUCUCUGUUCUCCUACAUGCCUCACAGCACUGAUAAAAAAAAACACAGAUAUUUUAGAUAUGAUGCUAUAGCAAGAAUUAACAGAGCAGUAUAGGGUGGGGGAAAGGAUCUUGUGAUUAACAUUAUAUAAAUAUCAAUCGAUGGUUAGCAUUUAAUAUUAGUUGGUACCAUGUUUGUCAAUAAAAUUCUAACCAUUGAUACUAUCUCAAAGCUAACAUAAUAGGUGUUAUUCUUGAAGAAGUAUUUGAAUUAAAGCAUAGCUGCCUUGCAGACUAGUUCAGGAAAAGUGCAUAAAAGAAAGCAAAGGAGAAACACAGAAAUGUGAAUUCAGCUUGGCAUUUCAAACAAAGUCACCAAAAAUUCAAUAAUGUGAGCUCAUCACUACAAAGCCAGAGCAGUGUCAGUCCUCCUUCCAGAGAGCUUCAAAUCCAAGUGCUUGAUCAUAUGCAGCACUCAUCUUCCUUGGCAUUUCACUGAUUUCUAUUGAUAUAUAGGUACUGAUUUCUUCUUGGGAUCAGUUCAUAAAAGGUGACAGAAAUAGGACAUGGGAAAUGAAGAGGUCCUUAGCAUGGAGGCUGCAUCUAUUUAAAAAUCCAGAAUUUUAUAUGCAAAUUAAUGAUCAGCAUGUAUUUUUGAUAGCAGAUGCAAAAUGCUAAUGUAUGACUGUAUUUGCACAAAGGUAGGCUUUAUAUUCUGUGAAGCAGGCAUUUCAGAGUCAGAGCUCCUUGCUUCUUUCCUUUCUCUACCACUACUCAUCAGUGAAAACCUCCUCCUACCUCAAAUUACUGAUCUAAAAAAUGGACAGGGGUAUUACCUGAUAAGCAUCCUGCAAGCUGUAAUUAAUAUCUAAUUGAACCAUAGAAUGUUGCUAAAAAAUUACUUGGUUUAUUGUAGAAAAAUAUAAAAGACAGUAAAUUUUGGCAGUGGAGACACAGGCACUGGUUUGGAGCUAGUUUGCUUCCUCAGCAGAAAACUGUUUCCCUCUAAUCAUUUUGUGGAAAUAGUGGGGCCUUUUACUUAUGUAACAAAGUAGAGUAGGAAGGUGAGGCACCCAGUCCCCAGAUUCUAUGCCCUCAGUAUCAGCUCUGUCUUUGUCUCUACUAUGGGGAAAUUCUCUGCACCUAAGACCUCUCCACUUAUUUUUUCAGCAUCUUCCUACACCAGGGAAGAACCCAUCCCCACGCUCCAAUAUUUCACAUAAGAUCAAUUCAUUUUGUACUAGAAAUGUUUUAAUAUCAGGCUGUUAAUACAGGUGAAGAAUUCCAGUUAUGUAUAUGUGAGCAUGGAAGAACUUUGUAGUCAACAGAAAAUGCAAUGCAACCUGCAAAGACAACAAAACUGUGAAUCUCAAAAUAUUAUUGUGGUGAUUGAUUGUAGAGAAAAGUUCAUGGAUAGAUAAAGAUUUCUUUUUUGUAGUGUAUCUUAACAACAUGCAUCUUAGAUUGCUGUAUAUAAAAGUUACAGUUACAUUAACAGAUAAUACAAAACAUGAUCAGAGUUUAUUAAUGUUGUGGCAAGACAUGCAGAAGGGAAGGGGUUUCACUAAAUGGAAGCAAUAAAAUAAUAAAACUUGUGGCAUGCAUGAAAAAUCUGG